rfam:Vibrio sp. CECT 9027 strain CECT 9027T genome assembly, contig: 0002
GUAGCAAAGACCUGAACGGCUUGGUUUUUUUGAAAUCAAUUGGAAUUUGUUACGAUGUUGUGUUUGCAAACUCGUAUUUUCUCGAGUUUAGGUAGUUUCUACCAACCUGUUCUGUGCAGUCAUCCUCUGCACAAAGCAUACUUCCUGUAUUUAUUUGACCUGUCUGUCAAAUUUUGUGCACCGCCUCCUCAGGCGGUGUUUUUUUAU